CCUACGGGAGGCAGCAGUGAGGAAUAUUGGUCAAUGGACGAGAGUCUGAACCAGCCAAGUAGCGUGAAGGAUGACUGCCCUAUGGGUUGUAAACUUCUUUUAUAUGGGAAUAAAAUGUUCCACGUGUGGGAUUUUGUAUGUACCAUAUCAAUAAGGAUCGGCUAACUCCGUGCCAGCAGCCGCGGUAAUACGGAGGAUCCGAGCGUUAUCCGGAUUUAUUGGGUUUAACGGGAGCGUAGGUGGAUUGUUAAGUCAGUUGUGAAAGUUUGCGGCUCAACCGUAAAAUUGCAGUUGAAACUGGCAGUCUGGAGUACAGUAGAGGUGGGCGGAAUUCGUGGUGUAGCGGUGAAAUGCUUAGAUAUGACGAAGAACUCCGAUUGCGAAGGCAGCUCACUGGACUGCAACUGACACUGAGGCUCGAAAGUGUGGGUAUCAAACAGGAUUAGAUACCCUUGUAGUC
rnacentral:rRNA from 1 species